UUACUAUUUAUUCUGAUCAGGUUAAGUGAAAAAGCUAACUUAAUUGGUAGCAGAUUCGUCCAUAAGUACAAAGCAUCCAAAAAUUACACUUAAUCUAACAUAAUGUAUGUUCUCUGCGUUUACAUUUUCACUACACUGUCACCUGAGCUCUGCGGAUAUGUUGCGUUAAGGACGUUACAAUCUCCCUCCUGCCAAGCCUAAAGUGCCCGUGUAGUUUGCGUACAUUGCAAUAUUGCUUCAUUUGCCGUCGGAUGUCUUAGACUACAUAACAUGAUAAGUUGUGUGGCUUGUGUUUGUUAUAUCAUAAUCACCAGGUUAACUAAAACACCAUAUUCAAACGAGAGUAACGCUGUUAGCUAUGUAUAAUUACGGUUACGGAGGAACCACAGGGCCAACGUCCUUUUUAUUUAAAAUGUCAUGACGUAUAGCGGAGGCAAAAGAUCGUAUUUUUGGAUAACAGCUUUAAUGCAAUGUUCAGCAUGUGUCACAGAUAUCACUGAGGAACAACGAAAAUUCAUCUAUCAAUAAAAAUGUUUUUAGCAAUACAUUUAGACUAUAAGUUACUUCAAUCCAUCCUUCCAAGUGAAGGUGUAAGUAACAAUGUGUAUGUUUGCUUCAAUUAAACGUAUUGUCCUUAAGCUGUGCGCAACUGUGUAAAUUAACACGCAACAGCGUAAACAACGUAGAUCGUUGAAGCUUUGACUAGAGGUAGUUCUGAGAAGCUAAAAGAAGCCGCGUUUGGGAAAUAUUACUUCUAUUGCCUAAUUCGGAAGCUGCUGCUACUAAAUCGACCAGUUACGAGUGAUGAACAGUGGAUAUGUUUUUUUUUUUUUUUU